rnacentral:rRNA from 1 species
UGGGGAAUAUUGCACAAUGGAGGGAACUCUGAUGCCUCGACGCCGCGUGAACGAAGAAGGCUUUCGAGUCGUAAAGUUCUUUUAUAUGGGAAGAUAAUGACGGUACCAUAAGAAAAAGCCCCGGCUAACUACGUGCCAGCAGCCGCGGUAAUACGUAGGGGGCUAGCGUUCUCCGGAAUCACUGGGCGUAAAGGGUUCGCAGGCGGAAAUGCAAGUCAGGUGUAAAAGGCAGUAGCUUAACUACUGUAAGCAUUUGAAACUGCAUAUCUUGAGAAGAGUAGAGGUAAGUGGAAUUUUUAGUGUAGCGGUGAAAUUCGUAGAUAUUAAAAAGAAAACCGGUGGCGAAAGCGACUUACUGGGCUCAUUCUGACGCUGAGGAACGAAAGCGUGGGUAGCAAACAGG